ensembl:lncRNA
GCCCUAUGGAUUUUCCAUGCAUGCACAAAAGAUUAGAAACCAAUCUUCCAGACACAAAAAACUCCUGUUCAUUAGCAAAGCUUGGAUCGGGACUGAGAUCCCAACUCCAUGGCUCAGGACUGUUGCCAAUUCUGUCAUGUCUUUCCAUCCCUUUUCUGGACAAGAUCGAUAGCAGCCGUGCCAGUAGAAAUGAGAGUUCGGAGCUGUUUUUAGAACUCUGGUAAUUUGUGUGAAAGCAAAAGGAACAAAAAUAUUCAAACUGAAGCCUAGCUCCAUGAAAUUUCCAUCUCCAUUCUGCAGAGCUGGGGUUUGGACCAGGUUCAGCUUGAAGGUGCUUAGCACACACAUCUUACCAUCUAAUGCUGCAGCAAGACCAAGACCUGGUCCUGCUCCCUUUCAGCACAGAUUAAAUUAAAUCUGAUAUCAAUGGACGAACUCAGGAUUUUACUGUAGUUGAAGAAUUUGCUCCUUUUGGAUCCAGCUGAAACAAGAAGCAGAAAUGCUGACCUCUAAUGCAAAAGCCCAUUGCCAUGCUAUUUGGAUCAGGAAGUGCCAAAAUCUCAGAAAGAAGCCUGGAUCUUCCAUGCCAAUUAAGAGUCUCAGGAGGAUCGUAUAGUUUGGAUAACCUACAGUCAAGCGUUACAAUUUAUGGGAGCUUAUCCAAACCAAACUCUGACUCAAUAUGCUCGCCCAUCAGCAAGCAAAAUACCUCGUGGAACAAGGUGUGCUGCCAAAGCCAAGCAACCAGCACUGAGGAUUUUUCAUUUUGCUACCUUUGCUGAGGAGAAGCUUGAAACAAAUGGGCAAUAAGUUGAUGAAUUCAUGAAGCCUAACAUUUAUUCUCUGUUGUGACAAGAACAUCUCAUCUUCAAAGCAAAAGACAGAUGGGCCACAGCUCAGCAGCAAUGGGAGACUGCCAAAGAAAUUAACCCACUGAAAUUAAUCUGGAAAAAUGAAGAGCCCAGAGGACCAAUGGCUCCGUAGGUCAUGGAAGGCCCUAUAUGCUGAA